AUGCAACAGGGGGACACCUGAGGACACAGAAUAAAGAAGGACCAUGUGAAACUCAUGAAGAGGAUGGUCAGAGUUGUCCAUAGCUUUCUUGACUCUUAUGAAGAAUCCUUCUUUGCAUCAUCUCCAGAGGUUCCACAGUCGUCUCCAGAACAGAACCAGAACAAAUCCAGCCUUCUUUAUCAGAUUGUUGAGCCUUUUGAGGUUCCUGGCUCUGAUGCUGCUGCACCAACAGAUGAUAGCAGAAGAGAUGACACUCUCAGCAUCAGACUUAAAGAUCUGCAGCAACUUGCUGCAAGUCUUGAAGGAUCGUAGCUUCCUCCAGAAGCGCAGUCUGCUCUGUCUCUUUUUAUAGACGGCUUCACUGUUGCGUCUCCAGUCCAGUCUGUGUUCCAGAUGAACACCGAGUCAAGAUUAGAUGAUUGUUCCCACACCAGGCCACAAAGUGAUCCACCAGAUCUCUGUACUCAGCCUCUUGUCUUUCUCUGAUACACACAACAACUGCAGAGUCGUCUGAGUAUUUCUGUAGAUGACAGAAGUCGGACUUGUGCGGGAAGUCUGAACAGUAGAGAGUGAAAAUGAAUGGUGAGAGUACAGUGCCCUGUGGUGUUCCCAUGUUGUUGACCACCUGGUUAGACACACAGUCCUUCAGUCUCACAAACUGUAUUCUGUUUGUCAGGUAGUCACAGAUGCAGGUGAUUGUUGAGGCCUCCACCUGUGUCUUCUGGAGUUUCUAACAGAGCAGAUCAGGCUGAAUUGUGUUCAAUGCACCUGAGAACCAAAGACCCUGAUCCUCACUGUGCUGCCUGCUUUGUCCAGAUGACAGUGGGUUUGUUGAAGCAGGUGUCUGAUCAACUCCAACUCCAUGGCGAUAAGCAAACUGCAGGGGGUCCUGAUAUGUGAUCGUCUGCUUACUCAAGUGGGCCACCAGGAGUCUCUCCAGGACCUUCAUGAUGUGCGAUGUCAGGGCAACGGGUCUACAGUCGUUAUGACUGAUGGGUGACUUUUCUUCGGUACCGGAACCAGGCAGGAUGUCUUCCACAGCAACGGAACCUCCUCUUGGGUCUGGCAAAGGUUGAAGAGAUGCUGCAGAAUCCCACAGAGGGACUCUGGGACCGACACCAUCUGGACCUGCAUCCUCGUUCCUGUUCAGUCUCUCCGGCUGCUUCUUCACCUGACUUCUAGAUACAGAAAAGUUGGAGGUGGAGGCAAAAGGGAGCAGCAGCGUCUCCUAAUGUGGUUGAAGACAAACUUGUGGAAGCAGAAGAGUCCAUGACUGAGGUGGAAGAUGGAACAUCUGAGGCUUGACAGGAAAGCUGUGGGUCAGAGGAGGAUGAGAUAUCUGGCUGCAGACAGGAGAGGACGAUGAUGAUGAGCUUGUUCCUGGACUGAACCUGUUGAAGAAUGUGUUCAGCUCAUUUGCUGUGUCCAGAAACUAAUACUGUUAAAAAAAAAAAAGUCAUGGUAGCAUGUUUUUAUGUAAUAAUGUG